GUGAACCAAGAAACAGGACCGUGUGGAGAAAGCCUUCCCACACUCAGUACAGUGGUAGGGCUUCUUGCCACUAUGGCUUCACUUGUGAACCAUGAGAGAGGAAUGUGAGGAGAAAGCCUUCCCGCACUCUGCACAGGGUUGGCGCUUCACACCACUAUGGCUUUGCUCAUGAACCAAGAGAGGAGAACGUGUGGA